UGCAACGUCGAGCGGUAACAGAUCUAGCUUGCUGGAUGCUGACGAGCGGCGGACGGGUGAGUAAUGCAUAGGAAUCUGCCCGAUAGUGGGGGAUAACCUGGGGAAACCCAGGCUAAUACCGCAUACGUCCUACGGGAGAAAGGGGGCUUCGGCUCCCGCUAUGGGAUGAGCCUAUGUCGGAUUAGCUAGUUGGUGAGGUAACGGCUCACCAAGGUCACGAUCCGUAGCUGGUCUGAGAGGAUGAUCAGCCACAUCGGGACUGAGACACGGCCCGAACUCCUACGGGAGGCAGCAGUGGGGAAUAUUGGACAAUGGGGGCAACCCUGAUCCAGCCAUGCCGCGUGUGUGAAGAAGGCCCUCGGGUUGUAAAGCACAUUCAGCGAGGAAGAACGCCUAGCGGUUAAUACCCGCUAGGAAAGACAUCACUCGCAGAAGAAGCACCGGCUAACUCCGUGCCAGCAGCCGCGGUAAUACGGAGGGUGCAAGCGUUAUUCGGAAUUAUUGGGCGUAAAGGGCGCGUAGGCGGUCUUUUCAGUCAGAUGUGAAAGCCCGGGGCUUAACCCCGGAAGUGCAUUUGAAACUAAAGGACUUGAGUAUGGGAGAGGGAAGUG
rnacentral:rRNA from 1 species